UACGAAGGGUGCAAGCGUUAAUCGGAAUUACUGGGCGUAAAGCGCGCGUAGGUGGUUCAGUAAGUUGGAAGUGAAAUCCCCGGGCUCAACCUGGGAACUGCUUUCAAAACUGCUGAGCUAGAGUACGGUAGAGGGUGGUGGAAUUUCCUGUGUAGCGGUGAAAUGCGUAGAUAUAGGAAGGAACACCAGUGGCGAAGGCGACCACCUGGACUGAUACUGACACUGAGGUGCGAAAGCGUAGGGAGCAAACAGG
rnacentral:rRNA from 1 species